rnacentral:rRNA from 1 species
AUGGUUUCGUCAAUGAAGCAGUACAGAGAUCAGGCCGCCGGGGUGCCCAUGUCCCUCUCCCUCUCGCUCUCCCUCGGUGCCGUGGCCGACCGCAGCAAGAAGAUGCGCCGCGGCGGCGCCGACGGCGAGUUCGUGUGCAAGACGUGCGGCCGCUCGUUCCCGUCGUUCCAGGCGCUGGGCGGACACCGGACCAGCCACCUCCGUGGCCGCCACGGGCUCGCGCGCCGGAUACGAUCAGCCGGCGACCAGGAAGACCACGGACCAGAAGCAGGCGCACCGGUGCCACAUCUGCGGGCUCGAGUUCGAGAUGGGGCAGGCGCUUGGCGGCCACAUGCGUCGGCACCGUGA